GGAAUAUUGGUCAAUGGGCGAGAGCCUGAACCAGCCAAGUAGCGUGCAGGAUGACGGCCCUACGGGUUGUAAACUGCUUUUUCCGGGGAAUAACCGGCGUCACGUGUGGCGCCCUGCAUGUACCCGGUGCAUAAGGACCGGCUAAUUCCGUGCCAGCAGCCGCGGUAAUACGGAAGGUCCGAGCGUUAUCCGGAUUUAUUGGGUUUAAAGGGAGCGCAGGCUGAUGAUUAAGCGUGACGUGAAAUGUAGCCGCUCAACGGCUGAACUGCGUCGCGAACUGGUUAUCUUGAGUGAGUUCGAUGUUGGCGGAAUUCGUGGUGUAGCGGUGAAAUGCUUAGAUAUCACGAAGAACUCCGAUUGCGAAGGCAGCCAACAAGGCCUUUACUGACGCUAAAGCUCGAAGGUGCGGGUAUCGAACA
rnacentral:rRNA from 1 species